UACGAAGGGGGCUAGCGUUGCUCGGAAUUACUGGGCGUAAAGGGCGCGUAGGCGGCACUGUUAGUCAGGCGUGAAAGUCCUGGGCUCAACCUGGGAACUGCGCUUGAUACGGCAGAGCUAGAGGAUGGAAGAGGCUCGCGGAAUUCCCAGUGUAGAGGUGAAAUUCGUAGAUAUUGGGAAGAACACCGGUGGCGAAGGCGGCGAGCUGGUCCAUUACUGACGCUGAGGCGCGACAGCGUGGGGAGCAAUCAGG
rnacentral:rRNA from 1 species